rnacentral:rRNA from 1 species
CAAACUGGAGAUGGCGACCGGCGCACGGGUGAGUAACACGUAUCCAACCUGCCGAUAACUCGGGGAUAGCCUUUCGAAGGAAAGAUUAAUACCCGAUGGCAUAAUAGAACCGCAUGGUUUGAUUAUUAAAGAAUUUCGGUUAUCGAUGGGGAUGCGUUCCAUUAGGCAGUUGGUGGGGUAACGGCCCACCAAACCUUCGAUGGAUAGGGGUUCUGAGAGGAAGGUCCCCCACAUUGGAACUGAGACACGGUCCAAACUCCUACGGGAGGCAGCAUG